GCCUGGGAAGUCUGAAAGGCCAAUCAGAUGCUGUGUCUGCUUAUGAAAGACCCCUGGAGCGGGGAGACCCUCACUCAAGUCUCGGGAUGAUGUGACCCCCCCAAGAACUCACGUGAGACC
rnacentral:pre_miRNA from 14 species